AUCAUUGACUGACCGCAUUUGUUUACUAAUUAAUUGAAGCACGGAUAAUUAACAUUAUAGUCUAUUUUGGAAAUUACGAGAUUCAUGGUUUAUGUAUUAGCAUUUGGUGUGGGUGCAUGUAUAUACAACAUGCAUGUUUGCUUGUGAGGGUGCAUCUGACUUCAGCAGUUGCGUAUGUUGUGCAGUUGCAGAAUGUGGACAGGUGGACCCUCCAUAGUGGAUAACCACUGAAUCCAUAACCCUAUCUAUUGUAGGGGAUUGAAAAAGAAAGUGAAUAAGUGUAAUGUGCAAGCCAUAUAACAAUCAAAAGAAAGGGACAAGAGUAUAGAAAUAAGUGAGAAGAUGGCGAGGAAUUUUUCCAUCUUACCAAUAAGUCUUUUUUUUUUUUUUGAAAUGAUGUUUACACUUGUUGGAUGCUGCCUUUUUUUAAGAAAUGAAGUUCCAUGGAAAGAUUAAUGCCUUUGUAAUUUCCAUUUUCUAUCACGUAUCUUAUGCUUAGAGUCAAAGUUAAUCAUGUGUGUGAAUGCAAACGGAAAUUUUCUUCUAGCAAAGAAUGUGGCAUAGAGGGCAAUCAAUCAGUAGGGAGGCCAAACAAAACUGUACAUUUCCUACUGCUAGAUCUAUUAUUUUAAAACAUACAAUAAUUGGACCAGUUUCUGUAAAUUAAACCUGGAUGUUUAAGAUUGUGGGUGUGAGGAUUUCACAUAUGGCAUUGGCAUUUUGAAACUCUGUUGUUUGCAUUGCCUGCCAUAUAAACCUUCACGGGAAAAAAAAGUACAAUUUUGAUGGUUUUGAAUUAUCAUCUGCAUGCCACGUGUAUAAUAGAUUACUAACAUAGUAACACCGUUGUUACACAUCUGACCAUCUGCCGAACAAUUUUGAUUGUUUCCACCAGAACCUGAGCCUUAUCGAGGGCCCAAGCUUAAAGUUGCUAUUAUUGGAGCUGGGCUGGCUGGCAUGUCUACUGCAGUGGAGCUUUUGGAUCAAGGCCAUGAGGUUGAUAUUUAUGAUUCACGGUCUUUCAUUGGUGGAAAAGUGGGCUCAUGUGUAGAUAAGCAUGGGAAUCACAUCGAGAUGGGACUACAUGUCUUCUUUGGUUGCUACAGCAACCUUUUUUGCCUGAUGAAAAAGAAAAAUAGUGUGGUGGCAGGGGCGUUGAUAGGAGUGGCAUUGGUGCUCACUUGUGAGGACGCCUCUCAUGAACAGGUUAUUCAUUGCCCCAUCACUGGAGUAGCGCUUUCAACAGCUGUGAAUCUUCUCGUCGGGAUAUUCUAGAUCUUACUCAUCUUUGUUACAAACCAAAAAUUGCAGUUUCCUUUAUUAUGCUCUGUAGCUUUUUUCUAGAUUGUACAAAUCCUUCAUGACUUCAAAAUUAGCUAUGUUAAGUAUCGAAAGAAUUUUUUAUUUUUUAUUUUAUUUUUAUGUUUUUUGAGAUGUAUGUUUGCACAAAUCCUUGGAUUGCCUCUUCACAUGAUUCGGCUAGACAUUGCUUUAUUUGUUUGUUUUUUGUAUUAUAGGCUCAACAAUUGGGUUUGGUUUUCGCAAUAAACAUGGCAAGCUAUCUUAACCUCGAAAUCUCUCUAGAUUGAGCUGAUUACGUUUCCCUUACCAUUCAUAGCCCCGCUUGGUCUAGAACGAGCUCCCCUCAGGUCAGGAGUGUAUCGAGCAUAUCCAAAAACCAGGUACAUAAAAGGCCAUCGCAUUGUGGAGCUCUUCAUCUGCUUGGACUUUCAUUGAAUUAUCUUUUUAUUUUGAAGUCUUCCAUUGUAGAUUUUAUUUUUUAUUGUCAAGUU